UCCUGACAGAAACCGGAAGUAGUGCUAUCACUAUGGGGACUGGGGAUGACAAGAAGUUGGCGGUUUCUUUAGUCAGACAUUCUUACUGGUUCGACUUUUGGGUUUUUAUGUUGUUCGACGUCGCAUUUUUUCUCUUCGUGUACUUCGUUGUUCCAUAAACGGUUGCUGAAAUCAGGGCAUGAUGGAAGGACCCAAGACUGUGGAUCAUCUGCAGAAGAGAUGACUGUUGUCUGAUGGCUGGGUCCUGGAUGUGUGGGUUCAGCUGAUCUCUUGCUAACCUUUUACCAACGAAUCCAGUUCCUGCCCUGUUCAGCACACCGGCGCUUUAAAACAUACCACUAACAUUCCUUUCCAGACCAUAAUGCCUCUCCAGAACCUCGAUUAACAUGAAAUCAAUCCGGGCUAAGUUAUUUUUUGUAUAUUUCACCUGUUACCAAUUAGAACAUUUGUUUGUGUGUGUGUGUGAGAGAGCAGAUGGAGCGUUAUCAGUGUGAAUGAGUGAUAGAAUUGUACUGAAAAUAAAAUAAUUAUUGGAAAUGGAAAGGAUCUUCUUUCAUAUAAAAUAUUGUAUUCACAGUGCUAGACAAAUUACAUGGUGUCUCAAAAAUCA